rnacentral:rRNA from 1 species
AUUGAACGCUGGCGGCAGGCUUAAUACAUGCAAGUCGAGCGAGCGGCGGACGGGUGAGUAAUGUCUGGGAAACUGCCUGAUGGAGGGGGAUAACUACUGGAAACGUUAGCUAAUACCGCAUACCAUCAGAUGUGCCCAGAUGGGCUUAGCUAGUAGGUGGGGUAAUGGCUCACCAGGGCGACGAUCCCUAGCGGGUCUGAGAGGAGGACCAGCCACACUGGAACUGGGACACGGGCCAGACUCCUAGGGGAGGAAGCAGUGGGGAAUAUUGCACAAUGGGCGCAAGCCGGAUGCAGCCAUGCCGGGUGGGGGAAGAAGGCUUUCGGGUUGUAAAGCACUUUCAGCGAGGAGGCGGUACUCACAGAGGAAGCACCGGCUAACUCCGUGCCAGCAGCCGCGGUAAUUC